rnacentral:tRNA from 1 species
CCCCUGAGAGAUAGCUCAGUUGGUAGAGCAGGAGACUUUUAAUCUCAGGAUUGAGGGUUCGAGCCCCACGCUGGGUGA